rnacentral:RNase_P_RNA from 1 species
AUAGCAGGCAGUUCUAUCGCUGUCCCAUAGGGAGAGAGGAAAGUCCGGGCAACGCAGGGAGUCGCGCUUCCUAACGGGAAGAAGUCCGCAAGGGCAUAGUAGCGCAACAGAAAAUAACCGUUCUUUGAAAGAGGAAUAAGGGUGAAAAGGCAGGGUAAGAGCCUACCGGUGUGGCGGGUAACCGUUGCAGCCGUGCGCCUCGCGAGUUGCAAGACCAUGUAUACCGACGUUUUAAGUUUUCCCGUGCUGAGUCGGGGGGUAGGUCGCUUGAGCCGAAAAGCGAUUUUCGGAGUAGAUAAAUGAUAGAAGCCUUUAAGGUAACAGAACCCGGCUUAUAUGUCUGCUAUUAAU